AUGGGGUGCAGCAGGCGAGAAAACUUUGCAAUGUGCGAAAGCACGACAAGGUUAAUCCGAGUGAUUCCUGCUAAAGGAAUCUUUUGUUAGUCAUAAUACCACUAAUGAAUAAGGGGUGGGCAAGUUCUGGUGUCAGCCGCCGCGGUAAAACCAGCACCUCAAGUGGUCAGAAUGAUUAUUGGGCCUAAAGCAUCCGUAGCCGGCUCUGUUAGUUUUCGGUUAAAUCUAUAUGCUCAACAUAUAGGCCGCCGGGAAUACUACAAAGCUAGGGAGUGGGAGAGGUAGACGGUACUCCGUAGGAAGGGGUAAAAUCCUUUGAUCUAUGGAUGACCACCUGUGGCGAAGGCGGUCUACCAGAACACGUUCGACGGUGAGGGAUGAAAGCUGGGGGAGCAAACCGGAUUAGAUACCCGGGUAGUCCCAGCUGUAAACUAUGCAAACUCAGUGAUGCAUUGGCUUGUGGCCAGUGCAGUGCCGCAGAGAAGUCGUUAAGUUUGCCGCCUGGGAAGUACGUACGCAAGUAUGAAACUUAAAGGAAUUGGCGGGGGAGCAC
rnacentral:rRNA from 1 species